AGCCCCGUGGUGAAAAUAUCACGUUGGAUUGCAAAUCCAGAGAUGCAGAGUAAUACCGGCCGGGGCUU
rnacentral:tRNA from 1 species